CAAUAGCGUAUAUUUAAGUUGUUGCAGUUAAAAAGCUCGUAGUUGGAUUUUGGGUCGGGGGCACCGGUCCGCCGUUCCGGUGUGCGCUGGUGGCCCCUUCCUUUCUGCCGGGGACGUGCGUCGCACUUAAUUGGGUGGCGUUCGGAGUCGGCGUUGUUACUUUGAAAAAAUUAGAGUGUUCAAAGCAAGCCAUCGCUCUGAAUACAUUAGCAUGGAAUAACAUGAUAGGACUCCGGUCUUAUUUUGUUGGUUUCCGAGACUGGAGUAAUGAUUAAGAGGGACAGUCGGGGGCAUCCGUAUUUCAUUGUCAGAGGUGAAAUUCUUGGAUUUAUGAAAGACGAACUUCUGCGAAAGCAUUUGCCAAGGAUGUUUUCAUUAA
rnacentral:rRNA from 1 species